UGUAGCCUGCCAGGCCCCUCUGUCCAUGGGAUUCUCCAGACAAGAAUACUGGAGUAGGUUGCCAUGCCCUUCUCCAGGGGAUCUUCCCAACCCAGGGAUUGAACCCAGGUCUCCCGCUUGUGGGCGGAUUCUUUACCAGCUGAGCCACCAGGGAAGCCCAACUGCCCUUUGACCUCCUACAGAUGAAUUCCCUUCAACCCCACCCACCCAAAGUCCACGCCUCCUAUGCUCUGUCACUUGACCUCUGCACAGGGGUGCAGGUUUAGGGGGCCACUAGGUGCAGUGAGCUCCUGAACUCUGAGGCUGUCUGAUCUUAGAGAGCUGGGAGGACUUGGGAUUGAGGCCCCAGAGUUCAGGAGGCUCUGCAGAGCAGUGAGUGUGCCUCCUACCCAGAUGGCCCCAGCAGAGGGCGCCAUGCUGGUGGUGAGCCUGGCACUGCCCUAGGCCCAGGUGGCAGCUUCCUGCUUCCCAGAGGGCACGGUGAUGGGAACUGAGCCAGACAGUUCAGCAAGGCUCGGUGCCCCCGCCCCUGCACAAGUGUCAUGGAAAAUCCGAAGCCUUGAUCUUUGUUCUUGAUCGCUCCUCCCCGACUUUUACAACUGGAAACUUGCAGCCUCUUUGUUCCCAUCAGCUUGGGAGGGAGGUGUGUGAGGUGGGUGGGGGCCGUGGCUGAAUCAGCAGCGGGGGAUACAGAGCCUGCUGUUUCUGAGGAUCAACCACGACCCCUUCUCUCUCUUACCCACAGUCACAGUUCGUCUGUAAACAGAGGGCACUCCUGUGCUGGGAGUCAGAAGGAGCGGGCAUGGGCCUGGCCUCGGGUUCCUUCUUGGGUAAAACGCCUCCCCUCACUGAGACCAGUCCCCCAGGGGACCAGGGCCUGAGUCCCUUGAUACCAGCGCCCCUAAUUCCUCUAAAGUCCUGGUGGCAUGUGGCUCCCAGCCCUGCUCAUUCCUCAGGCAGGUCCUGUGUGUCUGUUUGUACCACUGGAUCCAGAUCCAAUUAGAAAUUUAUGGUAAGGAAACCACUAGGAGAGGUUACUGCCUUCCCCUGUGCUUUGCCCGCUUGUGCAGGCCUCUCCCCCUUCUCCAGCAUGGCCAGAGUUCAUGGAAACUUCUCAGGUCAGUGAUUCUCACCUUCCUUUCCUUCCCUGGGAGAGAGGGGCCCAACCCUUGUGCUCUGGAGCCUGGCACCUUCUGCUCCUCAAAGUCCCACUUUCCUGGGGAUGGUGUGCUAUGAGGGAAGAGGGGCAGGCCUGGGGGUCUCACUCCAUCUUCUGGCACCAUCUGCUCAGUGAGAGUUGUGUCUCUUGCUUCCUGCAAUCUUAGAAGUGAGCCUGGGAACAGGAAGUGAAGCAGAGAGAUGGAGCCUAAGGUGAGCUAGGACAGGGGUGCUGAAAGAGGGGGAAGGACCAGACCCUUAUUCAGCAGGUUCUACACCCAAAACUCACCCAUCACCCAGCAAGUCAUGGAUGCUGUUAGAUCAGCCUUCCCUCUGAGGACUCUGUCAUCUGCUGCAUGUGCGAGGAAUGCAGAACAGGUCUUUCCAACAUCCCUCUACCAGAUCCACACCGCCUCCCCUAGAGCCGCA
ensembl:lncRNA